GACGAACGCUGGCGGCGUGCUUAACACAUGCAAGUCGAACGGAAAGGCCCUGCUUUUGUGGGGUGCUCGAGUGGCGAACGGGUGAGUAACACGUGAGUAACCUGCCCUUGACUUUGGGAUAACUUCAGGAAACUGGGGCUAAUACCGGAUAGGAGCUCCUGCUGCAUGGUGGGGGUUGGAAAGUUUCGGCGGUUGGGGAUGGACUCGCGGCUUAUCAGCUUGUUGGUGGGGUAGUGGCUUACCAAGGCUUUGACGGGUAGCCGGCCUGAGAGGGUGACCGGCCACAUGGGGACUGAUAUACGGCCCAGACUCCUCUGGGAGGCAGCAGGGGGGAACAUUGCACAAGGGGUGGAAGACUGAUGCAGUAACGCCGGGUGCGGGAUGACGGACGUAGGGUUGUAAACCGCUUUCGCCUGUGACGAAGCGUGAGUGACGGUAAUGGGUAAAGAAGCACCGGCUAACUACGUG
rnacentral:rRNA from 1 species